rnacentral:rRNA from 1 species
UACAGAGGUCCCAAGCGUUGUUCGGAUUCACUGGGCGUAAAGGGUGCGUAGGUGGUGAGGUAAGUCGGAUGUGAAAGCUCGGAGCUCAACUCCGAAAUGGCAUUGGAAACUACCUUGCUAGAGGGUUGGAGGGGGGACUGGAAUACUUGGUGUAGCAGUGAAAUGCGUAGAUAUCAAGUGGAACACCAGUGGCGAGGGCGAGUCCCUGGACAACUCCUGACACUGAGGCACGAAAGCUAGGGGAGCAAACAGG